rnacentral:rRNA from 1 species
UGCAGUCGAGCGGAGGAUGGGAGCUUGCUCCCUGGAGUCAGCGGCGGACGGGUGAGUAACACGUGGGCAACCUGCCUGUAAGACUGGUAUAACUCCGGGAAACCGGGGCUAAUACCGGAUAACUCUUUUCCUCACAUGAGGAAAAGCUGAAAGAUGGUUUCGGCUAUCACUUACUUAUGGGCCCGCGGCGCAUUAGCUAGUUGGUGAGGUAACGGCUCACCAAGGCCACGAUGCGUAGCCGACCUGAGAGGGUGAUCGGCCACACUGGG